GUGUUUCCGGUGUCCGCUCCGACCGACAUUCGUCACACAGAGACGCGGCGGAAAGCAUGUGCAGCGUUGGAGCUUCUCGAAUAAAAUUAAUUGAAGGAUGAUGCAGAAACUGGUUUGCCGUCUCUGUAAGUGUUGCUUGCGUCUC